UACAGAGGGUGCGAGCGUUAAUCGGAAUUACUGGGCGUAAAGCGUGCGUAGACGGUAGCGUAAGUCAGAUGUGAAAGCCCCGGGCUCAACCUGGGAAUUGCAUUUGAGACUGCUCUGCUCGGGUGCGGAAGAGGGAAGCGGAAUUUCCGGUGUAGCGGUGAAAUGCGUAGAUAUCUGGAGGAACACCGGUGGCGAAGGCGGCAUCCUGGACCAACACUGACGCUGAGGAGCGAAAGCCAGGGGAGCAAACGGG
rnacentral:rRNA from 1 species